AUCUGGCGUCUUUGGCGUCCGAGUUGUAAUUUGAAGAAGGUAUCUUUGGGCCCGGCUCUUGUCUAUGUUCCUUGGAACAGGACGUCACAGAGGGUGAGAAUCCCGUGCGAUGAGAUGACCCGGGUCUGUGUAAAGUUCCUUCGACGAGUCGAGUUGUUUGGGAAUGCAGCUCUAAGUGGGUGGUAAAUUCCAUCUAAAGCUAAAUAUUGGCGAGAGACCGAUAGCGAACAAGUACAGUGAUGGAAAGAUGAAAAGAACUUUGAAAAGAGAGUGAAAAAGUACGUGAAAUUGUUGAAAGGGAAGGGCUUGAGAUCAGACUUGGUAUUUUGCAUGCUGCUCUCUCGGGGGCGGCCGCUGCGGUUUACCGGGCCAGCAUCGGUUUGGAGCGGCAGGAUAAUGGCGGAGGAAUGUGGCACGGCUUCUGCUGUGUGUUAUAGCCUCUGACGAUACUGCCAGCCUAGACCGAGGACUGCGGUUUUUACCUAGGA
rnacentral:rRNA from 1 species